rnacentral:sRNA from 1 species
AGCAGCCGCGGUAAUUCCAGCUCCAAUAGCGUAUAUUAAAGUUGUUGCAGUUAAAAAGCUCGUAGUUGAAUUUCGGAAUCAGUACGCUGGUCGUGCCUUCGGUAUGUACUGGUGUCACUGAUUCCUCCCUUCUGAAGAACCAUCAUGCCAUUCACUUGGUGUGGUGGGGAAUCAGGACUGUUACUUUGAAAAAUUAGAGUGUUUAAAGCAGGCUCGCGCUUGAAUACAUUAGCAUGGAAUAAUGAAAUAGGACGUUAAUCCUAUUUUGUUGGUUUCUAGGAUUGACGUAAUGAUUAAUAGGGAUAGUUGGGGGCAUUAGUAUUCAAUUGUCAGAGGUGAAAUUCUUGGAUUUAUUGAAGACUAACUACUGCGAAAGCAUUUGCCAAGGAUGUUUUCAUUAAUCAAGAACGAAAGUUAGGGGAUCGAAGACGAUCAGAUACCGUCGUAGUCUUAACCAUAAACUAUGCCGACUAGGGAUCGGAUGAUGUUAAUUUUUAAUGA